AAGUCGUAACAAGGUUUCCGUAGGUGAACCUGCGGAAGGAUCAUUAACACGUAUCCAAACGUAAAAAACCCCCCGUGAACAUUCAAUCCUGCUCUUGUAACCCGUGGUAAAUCAUAGCCCGGAAAGUAGUUUUGAUUCAGAGACCUCUGGCUACGUGAGAACAUUGGAACAGUUACAAUCGAGCGGUAGUUUCAUAGGCAUUGUUUCCCCAAGCAGUUAGUGUCUGAAAGUGUCACUGAUUGUGCAAGGAUAGCGCUUCAACGAUUCCUGUAGACCGUACACUCGGGCAGGAGCUAUGCCAAAGGGUCCCCAUGCCCCCUUAUAACCCCACAGUUUAAUGUGAAGCUCAAUGUAAUACAUUGGGUAAAAAAACCGAACAACUGUUAACAAUGGAUAUCUUGGUUCUC
rnacentral:misc_RNA from 1 species